CUUUCAUUUCAGACCAUCAGGAACAGAAGACUUGGUUAGAGUUUAUGCUGAAGCAACAACACAGGAGAAUGCAGAUAUGUUAGCAAGAGAAGUGGCUGAAAAAGUGUAUGAACUUGCUGGAGGAAUCUGAGAUAAACCUUAACAUAUGACAGAAAAUACUAAUAAUAAUCAAUGUUCUGGAUUGUUAAUUAAAUUUUUGCAUUAAAAGAAUUUACUUUUUGAAA